GUGGAUCCCAGUCCGAUCACAGCUGCUGGGAGAUGCCCUGGGUGGAUCCCAGUCCAUCCCAGUGGAUCCCAGUCCGCUCAGAGCUGCUGGGAGAUGCCCUGGAUCCGCUGUGAGUCCCAGGCUGAUCUCAGGCGGAUCCCAGUUCAAUCCCAGGUGGAUCCCAGUUCGAUCCCAGUGGAUCCCAGUUUGAUCACAGCUGCUGGGAGAUGCCCUGGGUGGAUCCCAGUCCAUCCCAGUUCAUCCCAGUUGAUCCCAGUCCGCUCAGAGCUGCUGGGACAUCCCCUGGGCGGAUCCCAGUUCAUCCCAGUUCAUCCCAAGCUGCUGGGAGAUGCCCUGGAUCCGCUGUGAGUCCCAGGCUGAUCUCAGGGGGAUCCCAGUUCAAUCUCAGGUGGAUCCCAGUUCAUCCCAGUCAAUCCCAGUCCAUCCCAGUCCGCUCAGAGCUGCUGGGAGAUGCCCUGGGCGGAUCCCAGUUCAUCCCAGUUGAUCCCAGUUGAUCCCAAGCUGCUGGGAGAUGCCCUGGAUCCGCUGCUGCACCUCCCCCGCCUGCAGCUGCUCCCAGGUGAGCAGGGACAGCCCCAGCUGGUCCUCCUGCCAAAGGGA